AAACACCGCGACACCCGAUACGCAAGGACAUCGCGAAGUCACCCCCCGGAACAAUAAAAAACUUGAAUUUGAAGAAAGAAUUGUCAGGGGAUUCCCCAGCAACAGGAUCCAUUCAAACUCUACAAGAAGUCGAGACCCAGCUGAUAGAGGAAAGGAGAGCUCAUGAGAAGAAUAGCAGACCAAAACCCGGGGAUAAUUUGAAUCAUCUCAUACCAAGGCAAAGUACCAGUGCUGAAGAAAUUCAUCAACGCCCCACUGUUCUGCACGGCUACCCUCCUUCUCCUAAUGUACCCCCAUUUUCAAUGUCCCCCCUAUCGCCCCUAAUUUUGGGGGUAUGUAUAACCACGCCCCUUUUUCUACUUCCCCACGAAACAACAACCAGAAUCCUUUUAAUUUUGCUCGAACUCCCCCAACCAGGGGGGUUACAAUUACCCUAUUCACGAAGUCCAGGAGAUAUGAACCCCUUUGCAUAUGGGGUUUCUCCACCAAGCCCAGGAUACGGAUUUAACGCCCCAUUUGGAAAUCACCAAGGUCAAAAAGUCAUGACCCAUGACCCCAACGGAAGUCACCUAUCAAGUCAGACGUUCGUGAACACGAAUGAGAAAAACACACCACAUGGUGGCAGAGAAGUGCACUAUAACGCUUCACAUAGCGCUCCUCCCUUUUUUGGGGUGAAUCCCCAUCAUUCUUACCCCCCAAAUAGGCCCCUCCCUCAACAAGGACAUUACUGGCCCCCUAAUCAGAGAAAAUAAGAAAAAUGAUUCAAUUUUAGUUAACUUAGUAUUGUUAGUUCUUAUACAGUAUUUUAUGUGUUAACUUGAUCGAGAUAUGGAAUUCUAAAACGCUGUGUGAAAUUGUAGGAAUUUUAGCUGUAACUGUUAAAUUUAUUUAUUAAAUUGAUUAUUAUCAAAAAAUAAAGGGGGGGAUGUAGGAUAAAAGAUAUCAUUGUAUAUCAGAUAGAGCCUUGUUCUGAUAGAAAAUGUAAAAAAUAUGGGACUUGGAUGUAGCAGAAUGUCAAUUUUAUUCCAAAUAGAUAAAUUGUAUCACACGAUCAUGGGUUGCUAGAAAUGAGAAACGCUCUUGAAAUGCUGAAAUGGUGCUGGGCUGUAGAAAUAGAGAGUUUAUUCAAAAAGCCAUAUUUCCAGAGGGGGUGGGGGGCGAACUGAAUUUCCUGAAAAUAGGUUAUCUCUAUUUUUUUAUCUAAACUUAUCUAAAAAAUGAAGACUGUAAUUUGGUUGCAGAUAUUUGCAUUAUGGAUGUAAAUUCUAUUUCUAAACUUUGUUAUUGAAUAUUGGAACUGAUAGUGGUAUGGUUGUUAAUCUGGGUAACUUUUCUUGCAUUGCGCCAGUGGUCCUCGACCCGUGAUACAAUUUAUUAUGGCCUGCCGAAGAGUGAAAAAGAUUAACACUUUGUUUUUUUGGGGUUCUGGAUAUUGCCAAUGGAUUUUGUCAUUAUCACAGAUUAGGCAUAUGUAUAUUUGUAGCAAUUCGGUACCUUAAUUAUACAUCCGGAAACAUACUGCUCAUGAUGGCACUCUCCAACCAACGUCCUAUCUGGGAAUUUCAUUUGAAAGUAGAUUUAAAAAGUAGGAUAGGAUUCACAUAUAUCUUGUGGGAGAGGAAAGCCAAUAACACUGUAUGUUAUAUAAACAAUGCUAAACUCUUACGCCUAAGCAGGAUUCAAAAUUUCUGAUCAGGUUUUUGUUUAAUCUAGAUCAGACCUUAGACCCUGGGCGUAAGAAUUAUUUUAUGGUCUGGAUAUAUCUUAAUUGUGGAGGCGAUUGAGUUCCCACAGCCCCAACAUUUUUGUGAUUCUAAUAUUUAGCACUGUAAUAAGACUGAAAAAA